AAGAGCCGUGCUGGCCGGAAAAAUGGCGCCUCCCAGUCCCCGGGAACCCAAGACCCCGCCGGCGACCAGCGUGGCCAAGUCUGAUGGAGAAAUGGUGCUGCCGGGCUUCCCGGACGCAGACAGCUUCGUGAAGUUCGCCCUGGGGGCAGUGCUGGCAGUCACCAAGGCAUCUGGGGGCCUACCGCAGUCUGGCGAUGAGUAUGAUUUUUAUCGAAGUUUUCCUGGCUUCCAGGCGUUUUGUGAAACACAGGGAGACAGGUUGUUGCAAUGCAUGAGUAGGGUAAUGCAGUACCAUGGGUGUCGCAGCAAUAUUAAGGAUCGAAGUAAAGUAACAGAGUUGGAGGACAAGUUUGAUUUACUGGUUGAUACCAAUGAUGUUAUUCUGGAGAGAGUGGGUAUUCUAUUAGAUGAAGCAUCAGGUGUGAAUAAGAACCAACAGCCUGUCCUCCCGGCAGGAUUGCAGGUCCCUAAAACAAUAGUGUCCAGCUGGAACCGAAAGGCAGGAGAAUAUGGCAAAAAAGCAAAAUCUGAAACUUUCCGACUGCUUCAUGCAAAAAACAUCGUCCGACCUCAGCUCAAGUUCCGAGAGAAGAUUGACAAUUCCAACACUCCAUUUCUUCCUAAAAUCUUCAUCAAGCCCAAUGCUCAGAAGCCCCUCCCUCAUGCUCUCUCUAAAGAAAGACGAGAACGCCCACAGGAUCGUCCUGAGGAUUUGGAUGUCCCCCCUGCCCUGGCGGAUUUCAUCCAUCAGCAGAGAACUCAGCAGGUCGAGCAGGACAUGUUUGCACAUCCGUAUCAAUAUGAGCUAGAUCACUUUAUUCCACCAGACUCGGUGCUUCAAAGGCCACAUCCCCAGAUAUAUAGACCUGUAGAAGAAACGCCCUGCCAUUUUGUGUCCUCCCUGGAUGAACUUGUAGAACUCAACGAAAAGCUCUUGAGUUGUCGAGAAUUUGCUGUAGACUUGGAGCACCACUCUUACAGGAGCUUCCUGGGACUAACCUGCCUCAUGCAAAUUUCCACCCGGACAGAAGACUUCAUCAUUGACACCCUCGAGCUUCGGAGUGACAUGUACAUUCUCAAUGAAAGCUUCACAGACCCAGCUAUUGUUAAGGUCUUCCAUGGUGCUGAUUCAGACAUCGAAUGGCUACAGAAAGACUUUGGGUUGUAUGUGGUAAACAUGUUUGAUACCCAUCAGGCAGCCCGCCUUCUUAAUCUGGGCAGGCACUCCCUGGAUCAUCUGCUGAAACUCUACUGCAGUGUGGAAUCUAACAAGCAGUAUCAGCUCGCUGACUGGAGAAUACGCCCUCUUCCUGAGGAGAUGCUCAGCUAUGCCCGAGAUGACACCCAUUACCUGCUUUACAUCUAUGAUAAAAUGAGGCUGGAGCUGUGGGAGCGAGGCGGCAACCAGCCCGUUCAGCUGCAGGUGGUGUGGCAGCGGAGCAGGGACAUCUGCCUGAAGAAAUUCCUCAAGCCCAUCUUCACUGAUGAGUCCUACCUUGAACUCUAUAGGAAGCAAAAGAAGCAUCUCAACACGCAGCAGCUGACAGCCUUUCAGCUGCUGUUUGCCUGGAGAGAUAAGACAGCUCGAAGGGAAGAUGAAAGUUAUGGAUACGUGCUGCCAAACCAUAUGAUGCUAAAGAUAGCCGAAGAACUGCCUAAGGAACCACAAGGCAUCAUAGCUUGCUGCAACCCAGUACCUCCCCUCGUACGGCAGCAGAUCAAUGAAAUGCAUCUUUUAAUCCAGCAGGCUCGAGAGAUGCCCCUGCUCAAGUCUGAAGUCGCAGCUGGCGUGAAGAAGAGCGGACCCCUGCCCAGUUCCGAGAGAUUGGAGAACAUUCUCUUUGGACCUCAUGACUGCUCCCAUGCCCCUUCAGAUGGCUGUCCAGUCAUCCCAGCCAGUGGAUCUGUGCCAGUUCAGAAACAGACGAGUCUCUUCCCUGACCAGAAGGAAGAGACAUUGCUGGAUACCGGAUGCCUUAUUGCUACUGCCGUCAUCACAUUAUUCAGUGAACCUAAUGUUGAAGAAAAUGAAAAGGGUCCAUUAACAGUUGCACAGAAAAAAGCACAGAACAUAAUGGAGUCUUUCGAAAAUCCAUUUAGGAUGUUUCUGCCAUCACAAGAACACCGUGCUCAUAUCUCUCAGGCCGCAAAGUUUGAUCCAUCAUCGAAAAUCUAUGAAAUCAGCAAUCAUUGGAAGUUGGCAAACCAGGUACAAGUACAGAAAGAAUCUAAGGAAGCUGCCAGGAAGGAGGCAGCUGAGAAAACAGGUACUGCUCACUCCCUUGGAAACUCAGCUGCCCAAGAACAGGCAAAGGAAGAGUACAGAGCCACAGCGGAGCAGGCCGUCUCUGUCCGACAGCAGGCUGCGCUAGAAAAUGCUGCUAAGAAAAGAGAGCGAGCAACAAGUGACCCAAGGACCACAGAGCAGAAACAAGAGAAAAAACGACUUAGAAUUUCCAAGAAGCCAAAGGACCCAGCUCCACCAGAAAAAGACUUCACCCCUUAUGACUACAGCCAGUCGGACUUCAAGGCUUUUGCUGGAAACAAGACCAAACCAUCUUCCCAGUUUGAUCCAAAUAAGCAGACCCAGUCUAGCAAGAAAUGUAUCGCAGCCAAAAAACUCAAGCAGUCAGUGGGAAGCAAAAGCAUGUCCUUUCCCACUGGAAAGUCAGACAGAGGCUUCAGGUUCAACUGGCCAAAGAGAUAGUGUUGGAAGAGAUCCUUGAGGCACCAAUGGACCGGAAGCACCAAGUGGCAGUGCUGGUUUUCUCUGGCAGGGGAGGACAGAACCCAUCCUGUUCAGUUACCAUCUUUGGCUGCCGUGGGCAGAGGAGAGCUGAAGGCGUCAUCUGCAUCUGAGGACGCGUGUGCUGGAGCAGCUCUG